rnacentral:rRNA from 1 species
UCUGGAAAGGCGCGCGAUACAGGGUGACAGCCCCGUACACAAAAGCGCAUGUGCUGUGAGCUCGAUGAGUAGGGCGGGACACGUGGUAUCCUGUCUGAAUAUGGGGGGACCAUCCUCCAAGGCUAAAUACUCCUGACUGACCGAUAGUGAACCAGUACCGUGAGGGAAAGGCGAAAAGAACCCCGGCGAGGGGAGUGAAAAAGAACCUGAAACCGUGUACGUACAAGCAGUGGGAGCACCCUUUGGGGUGUGACUGCGUACCUUUUGUAUAAUGGGUCAGCGACUUAUAUUCUGUAGCAAGGUUAACCGUAUAGGGGAGCCGGAGGGAAACCGAGUCUUAACCGGGCGUUAAGUUGCAGGGUAUAGACCCGAAACCCGGUGAUCUAGCCAUGGGCAGGUUGAAGGUUGGGUAACACUAACUGGAGGACCGAACCGACUAAUGUUGAAAAAUUAGCGGAUGACCUGUGGCUGGGGGUGAAAGGCCAAUCAAACCGGGAGAUAGCUGGUUCUCCCCGAAAGCUAUUUAGGUAGCGCCUCGUGAA